UACGGAAGGCAGCAGUGGGGAAUAUUGCACAAUGGGCGAAAGCCUGAUGCAGCUAUGCCGCGUGUAUGAAGAAGGCCUUAGGGUUGUAAAGUACUUUCAUCGGGGAGGAAAAACAAAACUAAUAAUUUUAUUUCUUGACGUUACCCGAAAAAGAAGCACCGGCUAACUCCGUGCCAGCAGCCGCGGUAAUACGGAGGGUGCUAGCGUUAAUCAGAAUUACUGGGCGUAAAGAGCACGUAGGUGGUUUUUUUAAGUCAGAUGUGAAAUCCCUGGGCUUAACCUAGGAACUGCAUUUUGAAACUGAAAUACUAGAGUAUCGUAGAGGGAGGUAGAAUUCUAGGUGUAGCGGUGAAAUGCGUAGAUAUCUGGAGGAAUACCUGUGGCGAAAGCGGCCUCCUAAAACGAAUAACUGACACUGAGGUGCGAAAAGCGUGGGGAGCAAAACAGGGAUUAGAUACC
rnacentral:rRNA from 1 species